rnacentral:rRNA from 1 species
GUGUCAGCAGCCGCGGUAAUACGAAGGGUGCAAGCGUUGUUCGGAAUUACUGGGCGUAAAGCGUGCGUAGGCGGUUUGAUAAGUUGGGAGUGAAAUCCCGGGGCUUAACUCCGGAAUUGCUUUCAAAACUAUCAAUCUAGAAUAUGGCAGGGGACAGUGGAAUUCCUAGUGUAGAGGUGAAAUUCGUAGAUAUUAGGAGGAACACCAGUGGCGAAAGCGACUGUCUGGACCAUUAUUGACGCUGAGGCACGAAAGCGUGGGGAGCAAACAGGAUUAGAAACCCCUGUAGUCC